UGCGGAAGGAUCAUUAAAGAGUAAGGGUGCUCAGCGCCCGACCUCCAACCCUUUGUUGUUAAAACUACCUUGUUGCUUUGGCGGGACCGCUCGGUUCCGAGCCGCUGGGGAUUCGUCCCAGGCGAGCGCCCGCCAGAGUUAAACCAAACUCUUGUUAUUUAACCGGUCGUCUGAGUAAAAAUUUUGAAUAAAUCAAAACUUUCAACAACGGAUCUCUUGGUUCUCGCAUCGAUGAAGAACGCAGCGAAAUGCGAUAAGUAAUGUGAAUUGCAGAAUUCAGUGAAUCAUCGAAUCUUUGAACGCACAUUGCGCCCCUUGGUAUUCCGAGGGGCAUGCCUGUUCGAGCGUCAUUACACCACUCAAGCUAUGCUUGGUAUUGGGCGUCGUCCUUAGUUGGGCGCGCCUUAAAGACCUCGGCGAGGCCACUCCGGCUUUAGGCGUAGUAGAAUUUAUUCGAACGUCUGUCAAAGGAGAGGAACUCUGCCGACUGAAACCUUUAUUUUUCUAGGUUGACCUCGGAUCAGGUAGGGAUACCCGCUGAACUUAA
rnacentral:misc_RNA from 1 species